AGGGAGCCGCGGCCGCGGGUCACCCGGUGGGGAGCAGUUGCGAAGUGUUAGCUAGACAGCAGUGAGUAGGGCUCGGGCGCCGGCGAGAUGCCUUUGUUCACCGCCAACCCCUUCGAGCAAGACGUGGAAAAAGCCACGAAUGAGUACAACACUACAGAAGAUUGGAGUCUUAUUAUGGACAUAUGUGACAAAGUUGGAAGUACUCCUAAUGGAGCAAAAGAUUGCCUAAAAGCCAUAAUGAAAAGAGUAAAUCAUAAGGUUCCACAUGUUGCUCUGCAGGCACUAACUCUUCUUGGGGCUUGUGUGGCAAACUGUGGAAAGAUAUUUCAUUUAGAAGUAUGUUCCCGUGAUUUUGCAACAGAAGUACGUGCUGUGAUUAAAAAUAAGGCACAUCCUAAAGUAUGUGAAAAACUGAAAUCUUUAAUGGUGGAGUGGUCAGAAGAAUUUCAGAAGGACCCUCAGUUUAGUCUAAUAUCUGCAACUAUUAAAUCUAUGAAAGAAGAAGGAAUUACUUUUCCUCCAGCAGGUUCUCAGACUGUCUCAGCUGCUGCCAAGAAUGGUACGUCAUCGAACAAAAACAAAGAGGAUGAAGACAUAGCUAAAGCUAUUGAAUUAUCGCUGCAAGAACAGAAACAGCAACACACAGAAACAAAAUCCUUAUAUCCAUCCUCAGAAAUUCAGUUAAAUAAUAAGGUUGCACGGAAAGUGAGAGCUUUAUAUGAUUUUGAAGCUGUUGAAGACAAUGAACUCACCUUUAAACAUGGUGAAAUAAUUAUUGUUUUGGAUGACAGUGAUGCCAAUUGGUGGAAAGGAGAAAAUCACAGAGGAAUAGGACUUUUCCCAUCCAAUUUUGUAACAACUAAUUUAAACAUAGAGACUGAGGCAGCGGCUGUGGACAAAUUGAAUGUAAUUGAUGAUGACGUGGAGGAAAUUAAGAAAUCAGAGCCUGAGCCUGUUUAUAUAGAUGAGGAUAAGAUGGAUAGAGCCCUGCAGGUACUUCAGAGUAUAGAUCCAACAGAUUCAAAACCAGACUCCCAGGACCUUUUGGAUUUAGAAGAUAUCUGCCAACAGAUGGGUCCAAUGAUAGAUGAAAAACUUGAAGAAAUUGAUAGGAAGCAUUCAGAAUUGUCUGAAUUGAAUGUAAAAGUCCUGGAAGCUCUGGAACUAUAUAACAAAUUGGUGAAUGAAGCACCAGUGUACUCAGUCUAUUCAAAGCUCCACCCUCCAGCACAUUACCCACCUGCAUCAUCUGGGGUUCCAAUGCAGGUGAGCAUGUUUUUUGAGAACAUUUUCUAAAUUAUAAACAAGUUUUAAAAGUAAAAGAAAAUGUUUUAUAGCAUAGUAUUAAGAUUUCUUUUGUCUGUGAAUAAAAUUAUAAAAUUUAUCUUUGAUUGUUUCAGUAAAUAUUGGCUAAACAAUUAACAUUCACCAGAGCAAAUUAGACAGAUACUGAUAUUUCACAAAUACAUUUUAGUUCAGUUUUAACAU
rnacentral:sRNA from 1 species